CUCCGUCCAGCGUCUGUGUCCCCCUGGUUCCCGUAGGUGCUCGGGUGAGGACGCGGCAGAAAGCGACGCUGCCCACAGGAAAGCAUCAAAGGCGUGAGGGAGCCCCAGCACUCCCAGCUCUGCUCCAAGAGAGCGAUUUUGUGUAGGUACAGGAACGGUUCCCAUCGCAGCCCAAGCCGCAGGGGACAGGACAUUGACGUGACAAGGCAGUUGCUGCAAAAAUGAACUGUUUUCAGUGUCUGUGGAACAGGAGAAGCAGCAAUGGACUCAAGUAGCAGCGAGGAAAACUCUUUUUCUGCAGACAUAAGAACCUGUUCCAGUCCUGUAAACAGCUUCACUUACCCAGUAAGUGCUGGUGGAGAACAGUGCUGAGCUCGUCAUCGGACAGGAAGGCGCACAGCUCUGCCAGGCAGCCGGCCGAGGCCAUGCGGGUGGCAUCCUGACAGGGGAUGGAGAACAGAGAACAUGGCCUGAGCUCAACACACCCCAGAGACAGGCAGCAAGAAAAACAAGUGUCAGAAGAUGACAGGAAAUAGAGGAGGAGAAAAUAAAUAGUAGUAUUUCGCUCCUACUAUCUGUGGGUUUCUUUCAGUUCACAUGGUUUCUUGUACAUAA